GCUCGUGUCGUGAGAUGUUGGGUUAAGUCCCGCAACGAGCGCAACCCCUAUCUUUAGUUGCUACCAUUUAGUUGGGCACUCUAAAGAGACCGCCGGUGAUAAGCCGGAGGAAGGUGGGGAUGACGUCAAGUCCUCAUGGCCCUUACGGGUAGGGCUACACACGUGCUACAAUGGCAGUGACAAUGGGUUAAUCCCAAAAAAACUGUCUCAGUUCGG
rnacentral:rRNA from 1 species